AGUGAACGCUGGCGGCAGGCCUAAUACAUGCAAGUCGAACGGCAGCACAGCAGAGCUUGCUCUGUGGGUGGCGAGUGGCGGACGGGUGAGGAAUACAUGGGAAUCUGCCCAGUCGUGGGGGAUAACGUAGGGAAACUUACGCUAAUACCGCAUGCGCCCUUCGGGGGAAAGCCGGGGACCUUCGGGCCUGGCGCGAUUGGAUGAGCCCAUGUCGGAUUAGCUAGUUGGCGGGGUAAUGGCCCACCAAGGCGACGAUCCGUAGCUGGUCUGAGAGGAUGAUCAGCCACACUGGAACUGAGACACGGUCCAGACUCCUACGGGAGGCAGCAGUAGGGAAUAUUGGACAAUGGGCGCAAGCCUGAUCCAGCCAUGCCGCGUGAGUGAAGAAGGCCCUCGGGUUGUAAAGCUCUUUUGUCCGGAAAGAAAAGCGCCGGGUUAAUACCCUAGUGUCCUGACGGUACCGGAAGAAUAAGCACCGGCUAACUUCGUGCCAGCAG
rnacentral:rRNA from 1 species